rnacentral:rRNA from 1 species
UACGAAGGGUGCAAGCGUUGUUCGGAAUUACUGGGCGUAAAGCGCGCGUAGGCGGACCUGCAAGUCGGGGGUGAAAGCCCGAGGCUUAACCUCGGAACUGCCUUCGAUACUGCGGGUCUCGAGUCCGGGAGAGGUGAGUGGAAUUCCUAGUGUAGAGGUGAAAUUCGUAGAUAUUAGGAAGAACACCAGUGGCGAAGGCGGCUCACUGGCCCGGUACUGACGCUGAGGCGCGAAAGCGUGGGGAGCAAACAGG